GCGGAUUAAUACCGUAUGAGGUCACAUGCGGGCAUCUAAUUGUGACGAAAGGUUUGGCGGACAGGGAUGGGGAUGCGUCCGAUUAGGUAGUCGGCGGGGUAACGGCCCACCGAGCCGACGAUCGGUAGGGGUUCUGAGAGGAAGGUCCCCCACAUUGGAACUGAGACACGGUCCAAACUCCUACGGGAGGCAGCAGUGAGGAAUAUUGGUCAAUGGGCGCGAGCCUGAACCAGCCAAGUAGCGUGCAGGAUGACGGCCCUAUGGGUUGUAAACUGCUUUUAUGCGGGGAUAAAGUUGGGGACGUGUCCCUUUUUGCAGGUACCGCAUGAAUAAGGACCGGCUAAUUCCGUGCCAGCAGCCGCGGUAAUACGGAAGGUCCGGGCGUUAUCCGGAUUUAUUGGGUUUAAAGGGAGCGUAGGCCGGCUUUUAAGCGUGUUGUGAAAUGCCGCGGCUCAACCGUGGCACUGCAGCGCGAACUGGAGGCCUUGAGUGCGCGGGAGGUAGGCGGAAUUCGUGGUGUAGCGGUGAAAUGCUUAGAUAUCACGAAGAACUCCGAUUG
rnacentral:rRNA from 1 species